GCUUUUAAAGUACCAAAAUAUGUUCAUCCUUGACUCUGUAUAAAUAUUCAGACCUCACACACCGACCAUCAGCCGACGUGUUUCAGCAUGUUCCGGAUCACAGAGACAUGGGGGAGAGAGUGGAUGGUGCAACCCAGGACUUCACCUUUACACAAAACCUCAUAACAACAGUGGGAAGCCGUGCGUGAAAGAUGCUGCUUGGAGCCGUGUCACCUUUGAAGAGCUGUGGUCUCAGAAGGAGGUCACCGGCAGAGCUCCCUACUCUUCUGAGGAAAGCGGUUGGUCCCGGGGAAGGCGCAUCUGCUCUGGUGAGACCUGCUUCCUCUGCCCUGGCCUGCAUCCAUCUCCUCCAUCUUUCUUCGGCUCCCUGUCAUCACUUCCAGUGGACAAGCAAGGCAGGUCCUUCUUCAUUGCUUUGCAGCUGGUCGGACUGGACCCAGGAAGCGGAUUGUGUUUCUGCGCUUGAUGGUCCAUCAUUAAGGGAAACAAACCCUGUAGCUUCAGCUCCAGGUGAAAUGGAGCAGCUUUGCCGGCUUCAUAAACUCUGGCAUGAUCUUAUCUGUUGUCCAAGAAGGAGAUAAGAGAGCAGGCCCUGGAAACCUUGUAGAACCCUGCUCUGGGGAAGCUCACAGCUGCUCUGCGGGGGGCUUCAUUUCUUUAAGGGACUUAGCUAGUGGGCAAUCACUGUUGUGGGAAUGUUCUUAUCCCCACUCUGUAUACGAGUGAACGUUCACAGCAAAUGGUUUAAUGACCUGCUCCAAAUUUCCUAGCACACCAAGAUUAUAGUUAGAGAGGAAAAUAGCUAGAAUUUCUGACUUUCAAACCCAUGCUUUAGCCGGGAGGCAGCUCUAAACCGACAUACCUUAAAUGCACUGUAGGUUAAUCUGAGAGAAAUAAUGAAGCUUUGGAUGGAAGUUAUCAAAGCUCGCUGCUAACAGUUGAACUCCCUCACCUCUGCAUGGACCUUCAUGGAGCUGAGCAGCAUUGUUCUCUUUCUCCCUCUGCGGACUUGUGGUUCAGAGAGGUUAAGCUACUUAGCCAAGAACACGUUUUUAGACGUGGAGCAUGACCAGGGCUCCUAGGUCUCCUGACUCCAGAUGAGGGCUUUUCCCGUGAUGCCAGAAACUGACCGGCAGAGGUCUGAGCAACAGUUACAUACCUGCAAUGAUUUUGUAUUGUCCUGUGUCAGCUUGGGUUAGCAGGUAUUAUGUUUCCCAGAAUUCCCUUCUUUGUAGACUCUAGGUUAGAGGUGGCCAAAAGAGAAAUAGGGGCAAGAUUUGGAAGGUGGAAGUAAAGGAGUAGCCACUACUCUGUGAAGGUCACUGUGGUUUCAUGUGGUGACAGACAGAUGCAGAAGUGCUGGUGGGUCCCAGCUUCCAUUCCACGUCCAGAAAUUCUUUCUUUCUUUUUGGAACCACUUUAUUGGGGUAUGAUUGAUAUACAAAAUGCUGUACAUAUUUAAUGUAUACAACUUGAUGAGUUUGGAGAUAAGUAUAAACCCAUGUAUAAUCACCACAAUCUAUGCCAUUAACAUAUUCAUCACUUCCAAAAGUUUCCUCCCACCCUCUUUACUGAUUUAUUAUUAUUAUUAUUUUGUGUGUGUGUUAAGAACACUAAAUUAAGAUCUACUCUCUAGGUCUCUAUACUCUAGCAAAUUUCUGAGUAUUCAAUAUAGUGUUGUUAACUAUAGGCACUAUGCUGUACGGGAGAUCUCUAGGACUUAUCAUCUUGUAUAACUUAGACUUUGUAUCUUUUGACUAAUAUCUCCCCGUUUUCCUCUCCCCCCAGGCCCUGGCAGCCACCACUCUACUCUAUCCAGCAGUUCUUUCUGACUGCUGGUCCUGUGACCAACAGUGGCCCCAGACCCAACACCAGAUGCAAAGGCUAUAGCUUUCCAUGGACUUCUCUAGAAGCUCUGCUUUCACAGUCCCACUCCAGCAACUGGAUGUGCCCGGCUUCCCAUAUUCCUUGGCAAGCUUUGACUGGUCCAUUGACACCAGCGCUUUGGGAGGGCUGGUUAGUGACAGGUCCUCCAACUCCCCCGCGGACACCCCUACUUCCUCAGCUUCUCCCACAACUGCCUAACAUACCCUGUAAGGCUUACAGUGGAUCUGCUUUCCCAGGUUGAACUCUGACUGAUAGAAUAGCCAACAUGGUAAAAGUAUGGGACCUGCCGAAGAAAUACAAAGGCGUCCCUGCCCUCGAGGGGCUCCCAGCCCAUUGGGGAGAUGGAGCAUUUAAACACAGCCAGCUGGGGACUCCUGGCAGCUUAUGGAUCAAGUGACAAAUGCACAAUGUGGUCAUUGCCUUGUAGUCCUUGCAGCCCGAGGUGUCCAGUGUCUUUUAGUGCAAGGCGUGAGGAGCUAAAUGGGAUAGGACACAGUCAGCAUUCUCCACAACUGGUAUCCACAUUUAGUCCCAGGUGGAUACAGACUUUUUCCUCCUCUGUUCCAUCCAGCCUCUGGACUCCUUAUCGACACAAGAAUGGAAAGUUACUUACAUGUUGGAUGGAAAUGUGGAGUGCAAUUCAAUGCAAAUGCUGACAUUGAAGAUUUCCCAUCCAACCAACAGAAAUUCCCCUAGCCCACCACACUUGGGUAACUCGAGUUCUGGAAUUCCAGCCUCGGUUAACCCAAAUCCACAAAUUUGCUGGAGUUAUGAAACUUAGUGAGAGUACUCUUUUUCUAUUAUUCAUUCCCAAUAUGUUGUGUCCUGACCCGACACCACGGAAUUUAUUUUCCCCACAUGUUUAACCCUCUGCAUGUUGAUUACCUUUUGGUAUCUGCCAAAGGAAAAACAGAUAAAAGCAUGCAUUCUUGGUCUUUUUGCAAAAUAAAUUUUAUUUCUAAUUUGGCUGGAAACUUCUC
rnacentral:lncRNA from 1 species